UCUCCGUGGAAACCCUUGGGGUAAACAUGUUGCUUGUUCUUCCAAUAAAGAAUUGAACCACCAGAGGGCCUCAGGCGACUCAGGAGGUUUGGGAAGAGACAAAGGCACAUGCUUAGAGGGUCUGGAGAAGGCGAGGAAGAAGGAAGGGAGCCAAGUAAAACAUGUGACUGACCAGGGGCUUUGGAGAAGACAAGCCCUGCAGGAAGGCACGCAUGUGGUCAUUCUGUCUGUAGCCUCCCAUUCCUCCCUGCUUUCCCCAGCUGCAUCUACCUGGAUCCUGAAUUUGAACCAAGUGGUCCAAACGGCCCGGUCACCUGAGCAACCCCUCUGCAGGAACCGCAGGGUCGGGCCACAGGGAGAGGAGCGAGGCCUUGAUGUCACAGAUCUGCUUUGAGGCCCAGCCUUUGGAUGUGCACUGCUGCCAGUUCUUGAUUAUUAAAUCCCAUUGUGGUGGAAGCAUUGUCUGAAAAACAAGCUUCUAGAAACCAGAGACUAUGUCUUUCAUC
rnacentral:lncRNA from 10 species